rnacentral:rRNA from 2 species
AACCCGAAAACACUGGCCCCUUGUCAAAUUAAAAGUGUUUCGCUCUCAUUUGGAGCGCCCGGGGGGUUUAGGGGAGUGGGGAGACGCGCCUCCACCGGCAAAUGAACGGCGCCCCCUGAGAGAGUAUCUGGCCACAUGGGGAUGAACCCCGCCCAAAUUUCUGGGGGAGCACCAGUAGGAAUUCUCCACAAGGGAGAAAUUUUGAGGAACAACGCCGCUUGAGGAAGAAGGGUUUCGGCUUGUAAAAUUCUGUUGUUAAAGAAGAACAUAUCUGAGAGUAACUGUUCAGGUAUUGACGGUAUUUAACCAGAAAGCCACGGCUAACUACGUGCCAGCAGCCGCGGUAAUACGUAGGUGGCAAGCGUUGUCCGGAUUUAUUGGGCGUAAAGCGAGCGCAGGCGGUUUUUUAAGUCUGAUGUGAAAGCCUUCGGCUCAACCGAAGAAGUGCAUCGGAAACUGGGAAACUUGAGUGCAGAAGAGGACAGUGGAACUCCAUGUGUAGCGGUGAAAUGCGUAGAUAUAUGGAAGAACACCAGUGGCGAAGGCGGCUGUCUGGUCUGUAACUGACGCUGAGGCUCGAAAGUAUGGGUAGCAAACAGGAUUAGAUACCCUGGUAGUCCAUACCGUAAACGAUGAAUGCUAAGUGUUGGAGGGUUUCCGCCCUUCAGUGCUGCAGCUAACGCAUUAAGCAUUCCGCCUGGGGAGUACGGCCGCAAGGCUGAAACUCAAAGGAAUUGACGGGGGCCCGCACAAGCGGUGGAGCAUGUGGUUUAAUUCGAAGCUACGCGAAGAACCUUACCAGGUCUUGACAUACUAUGCAAAUCUAAGAGAUUAGACGUUCCCUUCGGGGACAUGGAUACAGGUGGUGCAUGGUUGUCGUCAGCUCGUGUCGUGAGAUGUUGGGUUAAGUCCCGCAACGAGCGCAACCCUUAUUAUCAGUUGCCAGCAUUAAGUUGGGCACUCUGGUGAGACUGCCGGUGACAAACCGGAGGAAGGUGGGGAUGACGUCAAAUCAUCAUGCCCCUUAUGACCUGGGCUACACACGUGCUACAAUGGAUGGUACAACGAGUUGCGAACUCGCGAGAGUAAGCUAAUCUCUUAAAGCCAUUCUCAGUUCGGAUUGUAGGCUGCAACUCGCCUACAUGAAGUCGGAAUCGCUAGUAAUCGCGGAUCAGCAUGCCGCGGUGAAUACGUUCCCGGGCCUUGUACACACCGCCCGUCACACCAUGAGAGUUUGUAACACCCAAAGUCGGUGGGGUAACCUUUUAGGAACCAGCCGCCUAAGGUGGGACAGAUGAUUAGGGUGGAAGGUCCG